ACACGAAGAGGACCCUGAAACUGGCAGAAAUAGACUGCAAUUUGCCCGUUACCCUAACAUUUAAAAGGAGGUCAAAUAGUUUUACAGGGGAGGGCAUAGUAAUUCGCACAUUCAAACAGGCUGGGGAAUGUUCCUGCCUCGGGAUGAGGAAGAGGGAGGCCGGGGUCCAGGAUUAGAUAGAGACCUAUAUGUCUCACAGGAGACACCUCCAGCCGGGAACAAAAGAUGCAGGAUCGGGACCCCCAAGAGCCUGCAGAUGAGUGAGUGGAAAGGCCGCAGAUCUGGGAAUCCCCUCCACACACAGUCCUUCCUCAAUUUAGAAACAGAGCUUCCCCAAUUUAACCAAGCAUUCUUAUGCUCCAGAGCCACAGGCCUAGCUCUUCCAGCUCCCCCAGACACCAACCAAAGGCCAUUGUCCUCUUGCUCACCAGCCUAGACCCUCUUCUGGCAUGGAGCCCGGUGCACAUUCCCAACUACCAGCUACUAUGACCACGGGCCUUCCCGUACCUCAAGACCUGGCACUGAUCACCUGUCUAGCUGACAUUCGGCAUUGAGGACUGUCCCCUCCCACUCCUGAACAGAGGGCAGGGGGAAAAAAAGUCCAGGGUUCAGAUGGGAGGGGCAGGAAUGGGCUGCUCCUGGGAUCCAGUUUGAAGGCUAGGGGCUGAAGGGAACCAGAGACCAAGUGUGAGCAAGAAUUCAGCCCCCUAGGAUCUAGAGGACACAGGCUAGCCCCCCAGCUUGCAGGGGUGAGGGCAGUAAGGAGGAGCAUUCUGAGUAAGUGGCCACAAGGAGGAGGGAUGAUCCGCGGAAACCUGAGCGCAGAGGCUCAGAGCUGCAGCCAACGCCGAGCCAGCAGGACCCUAGCGGCUUCCCCUGCACCGGCUCCUGCCAAGCGCUUCCACGCCUCGCUGCGUUUAAGGAACCGAAAUAUUGGAAGCGGCCCCCAAGGGAAGCAGAUGCUCGACUUUCACAUCCACCAACUAAAAUCUCAUCUGACCCGAAAGAAGAGUGAGAGUUCACAGCUCCAAACCGCUCCUUACAGAGCAGGUGGCAGUUUAGGAACGUUAUUCGGUGCAUGGACCUGUCACAGGUUAGUUAAUGUCCCAGCAGGGUUUGGGGCAGCACUCUACAGCCAUGUUCAUUUGCAUUUUUGCACGAAAACAUGAAUAUUCACGAUGCGUGAGAAGAAGGGGCACACAACGACCUCAGUUAAGAAAUCAUUUGGGCUCUGCGCGACUGUGACCUCCCUCCCGUCCCCUCGCUCGCGGCGACCUACCUGC